AUUUCACCACAGAAUGCAGCCCAAACCGCACAGUGUUAAUACCAUAUUCAAAAAAUCCGAUCCCCAAUCUCCCUCCCAAAAUCGACGACGAAAACAAAGCUGAAGAAAAAGGCUGUAAAUCAUUUCACCACAAAAUGUAGCUCAAAUAGCACAAGGCUUUCUCACUCUACAAAUUUUUGAGAAUGUUGAACGUCCAGCAGUAAAAACAAGGGAGCCGGGUCUUCUUCCAGCUGCAAGAAAUUUUUCGUCGACCACUGAAAUACCUCCGACCGCCGCAUAACCAGUACGAUGUCAGCAACCCUCCAAGAACUUCCUCGUUCGUCUUGGGUGACUAAAAAGAAGGUGACCUAUAUGUGAUUUCUUCGCCAUUUAAUUUUUUACUGUUGUUACCUGGCCAAAGUUCUUGUCUCGUCUGGCCAUUUAUUCCGUUUGGUAUAUAAUAUUGGUGAUUGAGCUCUUUGCUUCUUCUGGAUUUCUAAAAGUGAUGAAAGGAAGAUUAUAUUACACAAUCAUUGAAAUUUGUCGAUUGCAUCCUCUACUUGUUUAAUUGCCAGGAAUAAUAGUGAAGGGAAAUGCAAUUUUCCAAUCUGCCCACUAGAUGUUUGAUGAAAUGCUCAAACGACAAUGUGAUGAAUAUAGUUUAAGGACACCAGUAGUUGAACAAUUUUCUGUAACUUCAAAUAGAAAAUAUGAGAUAUCCACAUAAAGUAAAAUCAAGGUUUAGUGUGGUUAGGUUUCUUAAUGUCUUAAGUGGUUUAAUAUUGUUAUCCAAGGUGUUGACUUAAACUAGAAGAAGCAGUUUUCGUUUUCUUGCAAAACUAGUUUGGAGUCCUUCUACUGAAAUAACUUUAAACAUUUUUAGCCUUAGUAGAUUUCUAGAAAAUCUGAAGUGGACGUGUAAGGGAUAAAUUUGAACCAGAAAAUCUAAUGCUAAUUAAGUUCUCCAUGGCAUGUGAACCUCUAGCUGCUUAAAUUUAUUUGGUUAUGAUGGUAUGUUUAACAUAGCAUCUUAAAAUUUAAAUUUGUGUUAUGUUGAUGUCAUUCUUUCAUGCUGUUGAACUAGAUUAUCUGGAUGGCAAGCAAGAAUAGGGAAAUUUGUCAUUGUUAUCGACAAACAGGACUUAUGUUGCCAGAUUGCCCAAAAAUGAAGAUGCCCAAAUUGUGGUACGGGCUUCAUCAAAUGGAUGGAGGUGGAAAAGAACAAUGAAUAUAAAGGGUGGUUGUUUCAUUGUUGAACCGGUGAUCCCAAGUAUUUCAACUGGUGUAAAAAAUCUGUUGACAAAAAAUGUGAAUUCCAUGAGGAUGGUGAAUCCCGUAGCACUACAAGCGGAGGUGAGCCUGUUGCGGAGUUGUCGCAUAUGUUGAAAACGCUUGCUAAGCUGACGGAGGAAAAGGACUUGGAGAUUUCCCUCAACAUCAACAUGCACAAGGGAAAACGAGUGUUCGAAGAUUUUAUCUUAAAUUCGAUGUCAUUCUAGUUUAAUUGUUUAACGGAACUCUAAAAGCACUUUGUGGUCCGUUUUGAUAUAAUGAAGUUCUUGAGUCUUAUGGUUUCUUUUGUCCACGUAUUUGUACAUAUCUAGUGUCCUUGUUUGAUACUGUGGCAAUCAUCCCUAAAUUUCUAUUCAAGCUUGUUUUAAUAUGUGGGUUAUAUGUAAACAAACUGGCUUGUUCUAAU
rnacentral:lncRNA from 1 species